ACAGAAGGAUUUGGUACCCGGUGGCCCGCAUCAUCCGGAUCGCAGGCAAUCUGAAGUCCCCUCGUGGCCCUGUGUCCUCCACUCCCGAGUCCUCGCGGGACCGUGGCGGGGCGCCGAUCGCCUUGUGCAGGAAGCGAGGAACGUCAGAGAGGAAGUAGGUUGUGUGAGGAAGGCUGAUCUCAAGCCACGAUCUCUCCGCUGUCCUCUGUCCCGGGCCGGGUUGGCGAUCGGUCGCUUUGCCCCAGAACCAGGAAAUGGGCGCACUCCCGGCAGAGGAAGCUUGGGGAGCCCCACAGCCUCUGCGCGCUGGUCUGCUGCCCGGGUGUCUCGCUUGCUCGCAGUGGGGAGCAUAGGAAGCUGACAGUCCAUCAACAGGUAGAGGGAGAGGUAAGCGCAGGACAGAUUGGAAGCAAGAGGGGACAGAAAAAGCAAAGCCCAAGAGAGCAAGAAAGCACCAUUAGCUUUCGGAAUGGACACAGUGGCCCCUAAGCAGGAGAUUUAAAAAAAAAAAUCUGUUUUCCGUUCCUGGGAGUAAUCCUUCAAGAUAUAGGAUAUGUCAGAGAACUCAGGUUUCCUUUACUCUCCUAUUUUCAUGCUAUUUUGCUUCCUACAUGUUCCAGACUGACCGAAGGCCAAACUUGGGCCUUCCAGUCUUGUCUUAGUCUUGUUUCCGGUUCAAACAGAAGAAAAUAAAUAAAUAA
rnacentral:lncRNA from 1 species